rnacentral:lncRNA from 1 species
AGCAUAUCCAUUAGCCCUAGGCCGUGGCGACCAGCCGAGCUCGGGUUGUUGGAAAAAGUUUAGCAUCGCGCCAUUGGAUCGGCUUCAGGAUUGGUUUCAUCAGCAUAAUUGAGAGGUUGGUGUUUCCCCAACAAGUGAUUCCUCAGUCGAGUGGGUAUCCCCAACAGUGUUACUCCCCAAUUGUUAGCGUCUUGCCAAGCUUGGGUCUUUUUUCCUUAAGCAGAUGUGGGUGUG